ACACAGUCGUCCGGACAGGAUGGCCGGGUGGAGGCCUGCCCAGCGGGGGCCUCUGCAUCCACCGCAGGAAGCAGAAACCACCAGCCAGGCCUCAGAGCCCGCCAGCCAGGCCUCGGAUGAGGAGGACGUGCCCGCCACUGACAUCUACUUUGUAAGUCCCCAGGUCCCACGGAGCCGCAGCAGCCACGCACUUGAGACUCAUUCUUCACCCACACUGAGCUCACAUACACUCACACCAGCGAACUCCGUCCAAGCACACAGGGCAGCGUGGCUCCAUGUCCCCUUCCCAGGCUGGGCCACCCCACCAUCAUCCUCAGCCCCUCAGCCCUGCUGGGCAGUCAGAGGGCCACGCCCUUGGUGGCCAAGAAAGGGCGAGAGUCUUCUCCCUUGGGGUGCGCCAGGCCAGAUGGGCUCUGUCCCCGAGGAGAGCAAGGGCCCCGUGCAGGCAUCUCAGUCAGAGGCCGAAGACUCGAGUCCAGUGACCCCAGCCAUGGGUCCUGGGGCCAGCACAGUGCUGCCCACUUGGGAUCCGACUGCCCAGUUGGAAUGGGCAGUUCCUGGGCUCUCAUUGUCAUCUGGGGGUGGCCCGGGCACCCAGCCUCGCACCCUUUCCUCACUAACACCCCGCUUUGUCUCGGAGCCGCACUGCCUGCCCUGGGCCCCAAGUCCCUGCUGGCCCCGGAGAAGGAAGGGCUUGGGUGUGGUCUCCGUCUGUGGAUGGUGAGGGGCAGCCAGGGCCGUGCGCCCCCAGGCCUGGUGGGCUGCAGAGCAGGUCCCCCGCGUGCCGUCCUAUCUCUGCUUCCGCCAUCGCUUGUCCCCGCCUGCUGUUGCCCCCCCCACCUCAGCCUCUGCUCUCUUCUUCCUCCGGCCCGCCGCCCAGCUCGCCGAUGGGAGGUACUGGAUUUACUCCCCCCCGCCAUCGCCGUCUGCGGGCCGUGACGCUGAGCUCCUCGGGACUGUAAGUGACUGCAGCCGGCCCUCUGGGGAGAAGGGGCCCUGCCCUCCUCUGGGCAGCAGGGAGCUGCAGGUCCCCAGCCCGAGACACGGUGUCCAGUGUCCCGUUCUGUCCUCAGAGGACUUUGGGGAGACGAGGACGGUGGUGAAGUCAUGGGGCCGUCACUGACCCCAGGGUCCAGUGGACACUCGCUGUGUUGGGCGCUGUUGUCAGGCCAGCCUGUGAUGCAUGCGGCAGGGUCGGCCCUGACCCCAGCUGCCCGCCAUACCUGUCUCAGCCCUCCAUGCCACUGCUUGCCUGGCCUACUGUCCCGGCUUUACCCCAAACACGGCUCACAGGCAGCAGCAGAGCUGAGCUUUUCACGGGGACCACCAGGACCCCCCAGGUGGAGAAGCUGAGACCUCAGUCCGCAGGGAGCCUGUGAGAACACAGGGCUCAGAUAAAAUCCAAGUCCCCUAGGCAGGCACACCUGUCGUCCCAGAUACUCAGGAGGCUGAGGCAGGAGGAUCUUGAAUUCAACUCAAGGCCAGCCUGGGCAACUUAGGGAGACUUUUCUCUCAGAAAAUAAAAGGGCUAGGGCUGUGGCUCAGUGGUGAGCAUUUGCCUAGCGUUGGAUUCAGCCCUAGUAACCACGUGGAAAAAAAAAUGGUCAGGAGUUUUUCAGUAGCUCAACAGCAAACUAUUGAAUAGACACCCACCCAGUAUGCAGGGGAUACCACAAGGAAAUCGGGUGGUUGUGAUAUUAUGGGUGUCGUCAUUUUGCCCAGCCAACAAGGGGCCCAGAGAAGCGGAAUAACCUGCCCAGAGCCGCACAGCACUCACAGCUGGGCCAGGGCACCAACUGGAAGCAAAUGUCUGUUUUUCAGAUGGAGCCCUUAGAUGCACCCCUUCCACUCCCUGACCCAUCAGCAAACCUCUCUGGGUGUCACCAUGUGCCAAGCACCAUGAAGCGACCCCAAGAGGCAGAGGCCAUGUCCCAGCGCCUCUGGUCACCACCUGCCUGGCAGGACAUGAGCUGGGGAAGCUGCAGUCUGGGGCAGCUCUGGCUGGCAGCCGGAUAAAGCCAGGGACUGGAGUGGUUUGCAGAGGCCUACAUUUGGGGUGCUCUUAGUGGAGGGCGCAGCAGGAGUAAAAGUUUGAACCAGGCAUGAUGGUGCCCACCUGUAAACCAUGCACUCUGAAAAGCUGAAGCAGGAAGAUCACCAGUUUAAGCCCAGCUUGUGCAACCGAGAGACUUAGUGAGACCCUGUCCCAAAAUAAAAAUGAAAAAAGGGCUGAGCGUGUAGCACAGUGCGAAGGCCCUGGGCUCAGUCCUCAGUGCCACUAAAAGAGAAACAACGGUCAGCAGAAGCACAGGAGGGAAGGAGGGGCAGCUGCCAGAGGCCUCGUGUCUGGGAAGGAUGAGCUGUGGCCUGGCAUGCAGGCACCCAGGGCCUGCCCCUGGCCCAGUCGGCAGCCGAGGACCUCUUCUGUCCUCUGCUCCUGAGGUCAGGGAACAGCCUGCUUGUUCCGCCUUCUCUAACGUGCCUGAAGAAAGCGUCCAGUGGUCAGUGGUCCCUAGCCAGGAGCAGCGAUGGGUACUUCUGAGGUGACCCCUCCCCCAGGGCUAGCUCUUUGGGUUUUUGGUGGGGUCCCCCACUGGGCUGCUUGUUUCCGAGCCCACCCUCACCUGACUGAGGUCAGAGCUGGGUCCCUAGGGCCCUGGGGAGGCAGGAAGCUGUUUUGCCUUCGGAAGUCAGGGUUUCGUGUGGCCUCUGGGUCCAGGGCUGAGGGCUCCCCUCAGCUGCAGCCUCCUCAGCGCCUAUGUGUGGUGGCCCUGAUGGCUCCCUCAGGACCCCGCAGGAGCCACAGAUGGAACUGGAGGGCUUGAGGAAGGGGUUUGUGGCCCGAGGGUCUUUGAGCUGGGGGACGGGUGAGCCCAGGGCCUGGCCAAUCAGGGAGGGCAGAGGCUGGCGACUAGGACAGCGCCCAGACGGUCCGGGCUUGGAGUUGGGGAGCAGUAGACCUGGCAGCCAAUGGACGGCGCUGUCAGGCUGGCUGGGGACACCUUCUGUUGUGGCCAUGAUGAGUUUAGGUGCCAAGGGACACCAGGUGCACGCGGCCCAGUCCCGUGUAUCUUCAGACCUGGCACUAUGCACCAGGGGGGCCUGGGAAGCCGGGGGUGACGAAAAGGCCUGGGAAAAGAGAAGGUGGCGAGAUCGGGGGUCAACUGAGCCACUGGGGAGCCCCCAGCAGUCUGAAGGGACAUUGGAAAUGGGAGCAGCAGGCCCCUCCCCAAACCUGAGCCUGCCUGUGCGCUCCUGUGCCAGGCUAGGUGGCCCUGCAGGGGCCCAGUGCGGUCUGUCCCUGGAAGGUGCCCUGCGCUCGAGGAAGAAGGCUCGGGUGGACACCACGGGGACCACGGCCAGGAAAUGUGGCGGUGCCCUGACUGCCCAGGGCCCCCGUGGAGGUCCCAGAGCCCGUGUGGGACGCUGGGGAGGAGCUGGUCUGGAAGGACUUGGGGGACGGGGAGGAAGAGGUCCAGGCUGCAGCACCCUGCCCUCCCCUCCGCCCUCCUCCCGGUCCCCGCUGUCCCUGAGCCUUGACUAACACUUCCUGCUGCCCACCGCCUGCCAGCCGAGGAUGUGGGGGCUGGGGCAGGCGCACUUGUCCAAGGGGGUCCGCCUCUUUUAUUUUCUCCUGUUUCUUCCUUCCUCCUCCUGUGCCUGUCUCUGCCUCCGCUCACCCUCUCUUCUUCCGCGCCCCCUGCACGUGCCUGCCCACAGCCCACCGACGACAGGAGCUGGGUGUACUCCCCGCUCCACUAUAGCACGCAGCCCCAGCCCUCCGACGGCGAGAGUGACACAGUGAGUCCCCUGGGGGCCAGGGAAUCCAGACAGAUGGGGAAACAGGCUGGGGCGGGAGGGUGAGGCUCGCUGAUGUCCAGAUGGCCCUGCCAUAAGUAUCUCGGGCCUGUGUCGUCCCCGAGGCCAGGCAGCUCUGAGGUCAAGGGCAGCCCCAGGUGGGGGGGUCCUCACCCGGGUCCUCGAACGCCCUCACCACCCCCUUUCUUUUUGCAGUAAUUUCUAUGCAGUCCCCCACCUGGGACCAAGCGCCCGCCACCACCUCAGCCGCUUCCCAGAGGCGCUGCCUGCCCAGCUGAGGCCCAGAGCUCGGGGACAUGCCGCCCUGCGGCCAACCCCAGCCAACCUUGUCCUCGUCCUGCCCCUGAUGGAUGCCACCGGCCGAGCCCCUCCCCACCCCGAUGCUCCGCAGGCCACGCAGCGACCCUGGGCCGCCCGCACUGCACCCACCAGACAGCAACCUUCCGGAGCGUCCUGUCCUGUAUUUAUUUUGGGUCCUUAUUCUUUGCACAGACAGAGGCAAGUGGUGCUUUUUAGGGGAAAAGAGACAAACCGGAAAAGGAAGACACUCCACACCACCGCACUUUGGUCCUUUGCCUCCACUGCAUGUGUCCCACAGGGACGAGGCCAUUCCUUGGGACCUGGGCUGCUCGGGCCUGGCUGCCCAGGUGAGGCUCACACUCCAGGACAGGCCCCCAGGUGCCUCUUCCUGCUGUCUCGCUGUCCUCUGUGCUGGGGCUGCCCCUCCCGGCAGCAGAUCCUCCCGUGCUUGGCUCAGGUGUGGGGGCCUCAGUGCAGGACGGGCAUCCUCAGGAGUGGCCCCCAGUGGCUCAGUGUUGUGGGACAUCCCCAGACCCAGGUGCCCGUGAGCAAGAAUGCCCAGGUCGUUAUAUUCCCGCCCCAAUGCUGCUGACCCUCCCGCCAGAGCUCAGGGCUGUGGACUUGUCUGCCUCUUCCCAGCAUGGUUCUCAUGGUUCCCAGAGUCAGAGCCUCUGACUUCCAGAGCGGCUAGGCUGGGCCUUGGGGUGCAGGAUCGGAGACCAGGUGUCCUGGGGCGGGCACUUCUGAUGCUCAAGCUGCUAUCACACGUGACGGCCACCACAGGGCGGGUCCAGGAGCGUUUCCUCUGGGUGUCCCUCUCGUGGCCACACUGUCCAGAGGGUGGGAGAGGGCAUGUUGGUGAUGGUCCGCAGGCCCUGGCCUCUCGGAUCCCCAACACAGAGCCCCAUGGGAGGCAGUGGGAGGGGCUUGGAGCUGAAGCCACACCUCCCAGAAGAACAGCAUCAGCACCAACCCAUCCAGGAAUUUGAUUUUUUUUAAGCCCUCUGCAAGAUGCCAGACAGCUGUCUAGGCCUCUUCUGGUGUCCCUUCUGCAGUGGGGACAUAGUGGGGAUCUGUCUGCUCUUCCCUGAGCCACCAACAGGAAACCCAUAUUCCCGCCCAGACCCUCACAGGACCCAGCUGCUGCCGUGGCUCUGAGGAUCUAUCCCAGGGAGCCCGAUUGGGGUCCCCAGCCCCAGAAAGGGUUUGUCCAGGCCCCAGAGACAGCUGCAGCAUCACCUUGCCCAGGCCCCCAAGGACAUGGUCCCACUGCAGAAGGUGGAGUCUGGAAGUCAGCACUGUCGAGAAAGAAAAUGGUUUGUGUGGCCCCCAGUGAGUCACAGCCUGUAUACAGCGCUGGGGGCCGGCGAAAUCUUGCAGCCCUCUUGGCUGGAUGUCCCAACAUUCCCAUUUUUGUGUUAAUCCCCAGAGGCCCUGUGGGGAUCCACAUCAUGUGGGCUGCUUGUUUCAUUCCUUUUCAGAGUAUCGCAAAAAGGAUGCUGAAGUGUCCCCCAGACUGUUUCAAGGGGCCUCACUUGCUUAUCAUUUCGGGCACAGUGGGCUAGACAGGAGAGACCUAUUCAUGACAUGUGGCAAACUCAAGACUUUCCUCAGACUCCAGGAGGGAGGCCCUGGGUGCACCCGGCUGUCCCCACUCCUGUUAGACUUGUAAAUAUCCCAAUGACCCAGCUCCUUCCUGCCUCACCUCUCCAGACGGCUGCUCUUGCAGACCCUGGACAAUGUCCGAAUCCCUGUACUGUAAAAAUGGAGAGGCAUUUUCUUAGACUGGCAAGGUGGAAAUUUCCAUGUGUCCCCUUCCAGCCUGUCCCCCUCCCCUCAGGCCAUCCCAACUGUCCUCAUUCACCUCCACACCUGGCUCAGUGCAAUACUCCUGUCCCUGCGGGGUCCGUUGCCAGGGUACUGUCGCCACAGCCCCUCUGUCGCCCCCCACCCAGGACGAGCAUCCCCUCCACACACACCUCCUCCUCUCCGGUGAUUACAAGUUCCAUUGCCCAGGCCAGCCCAGUCUCCAUGUGGCUGAACCAUUUCAGAACAAAAAACUGCAAACUUCGUGUCUUAACCCACUGGGAGUCCCUCAUCAUCAGUCCCUGUGGUCUGGUGUGUGACAAUCCGGAGCAUGGCUUCCUGUGGCACCAGUAGCCAGGCCGUGUCCUUCCAGCCCAGACCUGUGGGCGCCCCUGACAGUACAGCUGCCACUGGCCCCACAGAAUACCGUAUGUGGUCCAGGCCCCACCUGCCCCAUUCCCACACACCCCCUCUUUUUACGUUGAAGAGAUCUCUAAUAAAUCGGGUAUACACAUCAGUUGACUUGGUUUGCCUCUGUGGGUUGGGAGUUGGCAGACUGCCAAUAUCAGAUCGG
ensembl:lncRNA